UACGUAGGGUGCGAGCGUUAAUCGGAAUUACUGGGCGUAAGCGUGCGCAGGCGGUUUUGCAAGCCGGAUGUGAAAUCCCCGGGCUCAACCUGGGAAUGGCAUUCGGGACUGCAAGGCUGGAGUGCGGCAGAGGAGACUGGAAUUCCUGGUGUAGCAGUGAAAUGCGUAGAUAUCAGGAGGAAUACCGAUGGCGAAGGCAGGUCUCUGGGCUGACACUGACGCUCAUGCACGAAAGCGUGGGGAGCAAACAGG
rnacentral:rRNA from 1 species